rnacentral:rRNA from 1 species
AUACGUAGGUGGCAAGCGUUGUCCGGAAUUAUUGGGCGUAAAGCGCGCGCAGGUGGUUCCUUAAGUCUGAUGUGAAAGCCCCCGGCUCAACCGGGGAGGGUCAUUGGAAACUGGGGAACUUGAGUGCAGAAGAGGAUAGUGGAGUUCCAAGUGUAGCGGUGAAAUGCGUAGAGAUUUGGAGGAACACCAGUGGCGAAGGCGACUGUCUGGUCUGUAACUGACACUGAGGCGCGAAAGCGUGGGGAGCAAACAGGAUUAGAUACCCUGGUAGUCCACGCCGUAAACGAUGAGUGCUAAGUGUUGGGGGGUUUCCGCCCCUCAGUGCUGCAGCUAACGCAUUAAGCACUCCGCCUGGGGAGUACGGUCGCAAGACUGAAACUCAAAGGAAUUGGCGGGG